rnacentral:rRNA from 1 species
GAAUACGUUCCCGGGCCUUGUACACACCGCCCGUCACGUCACGAAAGUCGGUAACACCCGAAGCCGGUGGCCCAACCCCUUGUGGGAGGGAGCUGUCGAAGGUGGGACUGGCGAUUGGGACGAAGUCGUAACAAGGUAGCCGUACCGGAAGGUGCGGCUGGAUCACCUCCUUUCUAAGGAG